UACGAAGGGGGCUAGCGUUGCUCGGAAUCACUGGGCGUAAAGCGCACGUAGGCGGAUUGUUAAGUCAGGGGUGAAAUCCUGGAGCUCAACUCCAGAACUGCCUUUGAUACUGGCGAUCUCGAGUCCGGGAGAGGUGAGUGGAACUGCGAGUGUAGAGGUGAAAUCGUAGAUAUUCGCAAGAACACCAGUGGCGAAGGCGGCUCACUGGCCCGGUACUGACGCUGAGGUGCGAAAGCGUGGGGAGCGAACAGG
rnacentral:rRNA from 1 species